rnacentral:lncRNA from 1 species
CGUCUUGAUUCCAAUUUCAAAUUCAAAAUUCAAAUUCAUAUCAUGUAAUCGGAUUCAAACUCUUCAAUCUCUUUCAUGUCAAAACUCUCCAACCUCGCACCUCCGUCUGCUCCAUGUAAUUCCCUCCCCCCUCUCUCCCUUCGCGAAUCUCUGUCUUUCUUCCUGAAUCUCUCUCUCUCCUCUAUCUCCCUCUCUCCGGCUGUGUCCCAUAUCUCUCUCUGUUUCUUCAUAUCUGGGUCACUCUCUCUCUCUCUCUAUUUCACUGGCCCUCUUUUUUAGUAUAUAUGGUAAUAUUUUAGUUUUACAUUUUAUACAGUUCAGUGAAAAACGCAUAUUCUGAAUUGAAUUGUGGAUUGAUACUUAAAUCUGAUAAAUUGUUCUUCCCUACAUUGUGCGAGUAUUCUUGAUUCUAUAUCUUUACUAAUGCUUGGAUUAUUGUUAUAUAAUUGUCUGAUUAAUAGUUUUCAUUUUGAUUUUGCAUCUCUACUGUUUGAUAUAAGUUCUCACAGAACUUUCUGUUACUUUUGAAUUAAGUAUUGUUUGAUAAAAGCUCUAAGAAAGUUUGUAAUCACUUUUGAAUUGCAUUUACAGCAGCAGAGGCUAAUGAAUGUUGAAGGAAUGAUGAAAGUUGUGGACGAGAGCAGGAGAGGUACAAGAUAAGUGAAUUUGGAGAAUUUUGUUGUAUGUUCAAGGGUACUCUCUAAUUUUUACUGUUCAUGUAUAUUUGCAAGUGUACAUAAAUGUUUUUAUGUUGAAAUGUGGCGGGGGUUGGGCUGUAAAUAGAAGGGACCUUACUAACACAGUCAACUCGAGCUUUCCCUAAAAUUUCGAAGCUUCCAAAGAUGUCACUGAAG